UACGGAGGAUGCAAGCGUUAUCCGGAAUGAUUGGGCGUAAAGAGUCCGUAGGUGGCUAGUCAAGUCUGCUGUUAAAGAGCGAGGCUUAACUUCGUCAAAGCAGUGGAAACUGAAGAGCUAGAGUGUAGUAGGGGCAGAGGGAAUUCCUGGUGUAGCGGUGAAAUGCGUAGAGAUCAGGAAGAACACCGGUGGCGAAAGCGCUCUGCUGGGCUACAACUGACACUGAGGGACGAAAGCUAGGGGAGCGAAUGGG
rnacentral:rRNA from 1 species